GAGUGAGGGAGUGUGAUUUUCGUGCCGGACCGUACCCACAUCCGCAGCAGGUCUCCAAGGUGAACAGCCUCUAGUCGAUGGACCAAUGUAGGUAAGGGAAGUCGGCAAAACGGAUCCGUAACCUUGGGAUAAGGAUUGGCUCUGAGGACUGAGCCGGUCGGGCUGGGGACCUGAAGCAGGAACGGCACUGCACCGGGACUGGGCGGGGCUCGCCGUUCACGCGGCGCGGCCAAGCCCGGACCAGCGUCGGGACCUUCCUGUGGAAAGCCUCAACUGCGCGGCGUCCGAGGGCUUCGUGCCCAAAGUGCUAUGCUUCGGCCGGCAAAAAAACAGUCAACUCAGAACUGGCACGGACCGGGGGAAUCCGACUGUCUAAUUAAAACAAAGCAUUGCGAUGGCCGCUGGUCGGUGUUGACGCAAUGUGAUUUCUGCCCAGUGCUCUGAAUGUCAACGUGAAGAGAUUCAUCAAAGCGCGGGUAAACGGCGGGAGUAACUAUGACUCUCUUUGGAGAGAACAAGCCGUGGUCGCGGAGUCGACAUCUCCUGCCGGGCUGGAUGCGGUGCACCAGAGAGCCUGGGCCAUGUCUUGCAGUGCUGUCAUCGAGGGCACCGGAACCGGGUAAAGAGGCACGAUAACCUCGCCCGCUACGUGUGCUCCCGUCUUCGACAGCUUCAGUGGACAGUCCUCUGGGAGCCGCACUUCAUCCUGCCUGGUGGAGUGCUGAAACCAGACAUUGUGGCGUUCAAGGAGGAGGAUACCAUCAUCAUCGACGCUCAGGUGGUGGGAACGAGGAUGGACCUGGCGUUCCACCACAACCAGAAGAUCGUCAAGUACUCCUCCCCCUUACUUCACCAGGCUGCGAGAGAUGGGAGGACGGGGACCCUGAUGACCACGAGCAUCACCUUGAACUUCAGGGGGGUGUGGUCAGCGGAGAGUGCCCGAGACCUCCAAGGUCUAGGGCUGACGGCGAAUGACUUUAAGCAGCUCUCGGUGCGAUGCCUCCAAAGGAGGCAUGAGUGCUUCUACGCCCACCGCAGUAUGACCACUGCGGUGAGGAUCGCGGGCGAUGUGCCUUCG
rnacentral:ncRNA from 1 species